GCCAGCGUGGCAUAAUGGUUAGAGCACUGACUAUGACUCUGAAGACCAGGGUUUGAAUCCCGACUCGGCCA